rnacentral:piRNA from 1 species
UGUCGCAUUGGUUUAUUAAAU